rnacentral:lncRNA from 1 species
GGCGGGCACGGAGACCGACGGCGCCGGGUGGGUGGAGCCCCCGGAGGAGGGAUGCUCGCGGUGGAAGGAGGGGACGCGGCUGCCCUCCGGUGGGAGCGGGACCCCCCCUGCGCCAGGCCGGAUCGCGCCCUGCCAAGCGCCCGGCGGGGACAGAGGAAGGAUGUCAAGAUGGUUCCUAGAAGCAGGCAAAUGAUGAUGGGUAAGAAUCUUCCCUCUUGGGCUACACUAGCAUAAUAAGCUCAUUUAUGCUUUUUUGAGGGUUACACUUUCUUCAGCAUAAUCUCAUAGAUGCCAUUUACAUGUGUACAGAUCCAUCCUUGUACUAAGGUACCAUAACGUUUUGUUGUGAUACUUGCCUGUUGGACACCUAGCCCAUACCAGAUGAAAGAGCCCAACUGCGUCUCGGAAUGUGUUUUUAAUUGAUAGCCAGUACCUGCAGUGCAUCCAGGGGACACGUAUACUCUCCAAUCAGCCUGCCUCAAAUGUGGAAUUUCAAUGGGAUGACACAAUGUUGUCUCCCUUUUACUGCUCUCCUGUGUUUUUUUCAUCCACUUUUUUUAACCACAAGAUGGAAUAGUUGCAGAGUGUAUUGAUUGGUAGAACUAUGAGCUGUCUAAAAGCACUCCAGGUUCUUGGAAAAAGAUGCCAUAUAACAGCCUUCACAAACCUGGUGCCUUCUAGGUAGGUUGGAUUUUAACCUCCAUAGCCAGGCCAACCUCCUUGCAAUCCAGGCCACCAA